UUAUAUGAUCUAAGUGUGUGUGUGUGUGUGUGUGUGUGUAUGUAUAUAUAUACACACACACACACACACACACACACACACAUACACUGU
rnacentral:miRNA from 1 species